rnacentral:rRNA from 1 species
AUUGAACGCUGGCGGCAUGCCUUACACAUGCAAGUCGAACGGUAACGCGGGGCAACCUGGCGACGAGUGGCGAACGGGUGAGUAAUACAUCGGAACGUGCCCAGUAGUGGGGGAUAGCCCGGCGAAAGCCGGAUUAAUACCGCAUACGACCUACGGGUGAAAGCGGGGGAUCGCAAGACCUUGCGCUAUUGGAGCGGCCGAUGUCAGAUUAGGUUGUUGGUGGGGGUAAAAGCCUACCAAGCCGACGAUCUGUAGCUGGUCUGAGAGGACGGCCAGCCACACUGGGACUGAGACACGGCCCAGACUCCUACGGGAGGCAGCAGUGGGGAAUUUUGGACAAUGGGCGAAAGCCUGAUCCAGCCAUGCCGCGUGCGGGAAGAAGGCCUCGGGUUGUAACCGCUUUGUCAGGGAAGAAACGACUCUGGGUUAAUACCCCGGGUAA